GUUCUUAGAUCCGGGUCUCUCUGUGGGUCACCUUGACUGUGGCUGUCUGUUUCCGAACAUUAGAGGAAUGAUGUAAACAGAUAUGUCAUCCCCAGAUCCCAGUCUACCGAUCGGUGUCCUCCAGCCUUGUUCAGGUCUCUGAAAAUCCAGAGCCUAUCCCAGGGCACUACUGAGGCAAAAGACAGGGGACAGACUCCCAUCACAGAGCACAAAUGAGAGAUUGCAAUCAGCCUACAGCGCAUGACUUUGGACUGGAUGGAGGUCACCAGGGUACAAAGAGGAAACCAUCAAGGCAUGGGGAGAACACGCAAACUCUGUGUCCGGAGGCAAAAAUCAAACCACCCUCCCCAGAGUCUUACCAAACACUGAAGUCUCUGUCUCUCUGACUCUGGAGUGAAGGCACUUGACAUUGGGAUGAUUUCCCCACUACGCAGAAUUAUGGCCCUGGCAGAGAAAACAGAAAACACAACUGUGCCUUGGGGAACAUUUAAAAGCUUCAUCUGAAAGGUCACUCAACCUACUUUAGUGUGAGUGAGAACUGAACGUUGAACAUCUGGAUGUUCCUUUCCUACUCUGAGUGUAUGUGUGUGUGAGUAUUGUGACAUAGGACUAGCUCGACUUCUACGACACCCGACCGCUUACUCUGGCUCGUGGUAAACUGAGAUAAAUAAAUAAAUCAAGGUCAUGUGGUAACAUCAUGUGGUGCAUGAUGUACUGUACAGGAUGAGAAUGUGUACACGAAUGAGUGUUUCAGUCUCCACACCUUGCAAUAUCAUGCGAUUAUUGUAGCUAAACAUGUCAGCAGUUGCUACGAUGGAGUUUACUAUCAUUUGGCUUCAUGCUUGUCACUGACGUAUGAAAGGACUAACAAAUUUGAACAAAUCUCUCAGGAUUGCAUGAAGCAAUGCGUUAGAUUUUACUGGUCUCAGAUCAGAGAUCAGAGAUUUACCUGCUGUCUCCUGCAUUGGCCACAUAAAGCUUUCCCAACAAGCAGAUCACCACUAAAGCUGUGCACCCU